rnacentral:rRNA from 1 species
AUUGAACGCUGGCGGCAGGCCUAACACAUGCAAGUCGAGCGAGCGGCGGACGGGUGAGUAAUGUCUGGGGAACUGCCCGUGGGGGGGGGAUAACUACUGGAAACGGUAGCUAAUACCGCAUACCAUCUGAUAUGCCCAGAUGGGAUUAGCUAGUAGGUGGGGUAACGGCUCACCUAGGCGACGAUCCCUAGCUGGUCUGAGAGGAUGACCAGCCACACUGGAACUGAGACACGGUCCAGACUCCUACGGGAGGCAGCAGUGGGGAAUAUUGCACAAUGGGCGCAAGCCUGAUGCAGCCAUGCCGCGUGUAUGAAGAAGGCCUUCGGGUUGUAAAGUACUUUCAGCGGGGAGGCGUUACCCGCAGAAGAAGCACCGGCUAACUCCGUGCCAGCAGCCGCGGUAAUAC